AUGGUAUGGUAUGGUAAGUGUGGUAUGGUAUGGUAUGGCGUACCAUACCAUACCAUACCACACCUUACCAUACCAAACCAUAU